GAGGAUAUAGCUCAGUUGGUAGAUCAGCGGACUGAAAAUCCGUGGUCAGAGGUUCAAUUCCUUUUAUCCUCA
rnacentral:tRNA from 1 species